rnacentral:rRNA from 1 species
GGAGUUAGCCGGUGCUUCUUCUGUGAGUGAUGUCCUUCCUGCCGGCUAUUAACCCGCAGGCCUUCUUCCUCACUGAAAGUGCUUUACAACCCGAAGGCCUUCUUCACACACGCGGCAUGGCUGGAUCAGGGUUGCCCCCAUUGUCCAAUAUUCCCCACUGCUGCCUCCCGUAGGAGUCUGGGCCGUGUCUCAGUCCCAGUGUGGCUGAUCAUCCUCUCAGACCAGCUACGGAUCGUCGCCUUGGUGAGCCGUUACCUCACCAACCAGCUAAUCCGACAUAGGCUCAUCCGAUAGCGCGAGGCCCGAAGGUCCCCCGCUUUCCCCCGUAGGGCGUAUGCGGUAUUAGCCUGGGUUUCCCCAGGUUAUCCCCCACUACCGGGCAGAUUCCUAUGCAUUACUCACCCGUCCGCCGCUCGCCACCAGGGAGCAAGCUCCCCGUGCUGCCGCUCGACUUGCAUGUGUUAGGCCUGCCGCCAGCGUUCAAUCUGAGCCAGAAUCAAACCUNACANAGAGGCGUCGCGACGACGCG